rnacentral:rRNA from 1 species
UUACCAGACUCCUACGGGAGGCAGCAGUGAGGAAUAUUGGUCAAUGGGCGCGAGCCUGAACCAGCCAAGUAGCGUGAAGGAUGACUGCCCUACGGGUUGUAAACUUCUUUUAUAAAGGAAUAAAGUGAGGCACGUGUGCCUUUUUGUAUGUACUUUAUGAAUAAGGAUCGGCUAACUCCGUGCCAGCAGCCGCGGUAAUACGGAGGAUGCGAGCGUUAUCCGGAUUUAUUGGGUUUAAAGGGUGCGCAGGCGGAAUGUCAAGUCAGCGGUAAAAUUUCGGGGCUCAACCCCGUCGUGCCGUUGAAACUGGCGUUCUUGAGUGAGCGAGAAGUAUGCGGAAUGCGUGGUGUAGCGGUGAAAUGCAUAGAUAUCACGCAGAACUCCGAUUGCGAAGGCAGCAUACCGGCGCUCAACUGACGCUCAUGCACGAAAGCGUGGGUAUCGAACAGGAUUAGAUACCCCAGUAA